AUCGUCCUAAAGCAUCACAUUCCUGUUCCGAUGCAACGAGCUGAUGUUUCUGCUGCUGGACGGCGCCGCGCGACAGGAAGUCAAAACAAAAGCCCGUCUACCAAACGCCACCCAUCGGCAUGCUGGGUAAUGGAUCGGAGGAAAUCAUCGAGCAUUCGACUUCGGAGAGCGAAGCGUGUUAGAUUUACUCCUCCUGGUGGUUCGGAACCACAUCUGGAGUGAAAGAGAAGCUGAUGCGUGUGAGGAACACGGGGAUGCUGGAUGGUACGUCGUACAUUAUCACUCCACAUGGAUGUGCACCCGUUCUCUCUCUGCCGCCGCCGCCGCCGCCUGCUUCCUCCGGCGCUCCGUCCUCUCACGGCUGAAGCUGUGAGCCGCAACAAAAGGUCUCUGUUGGAGAAAAGAAGCGGCGUGCUGCGUCUCCGGGGGGGGGGGGUGAAUGGAUGCAGAAGGCCGUCUUCAGUUGGUAAAAGCGGAGAGAAAAGGAAGAGUCUGCUCUUUGACCCGAGGGAGGACGGACGGACACGAGCGCCGCGUGUCUCCUUUGCUUUAAGGAACC
ensembl:lncRNA